rnacentral:rRNA from 1 species
UACGUAGGGGGCAAGCGUUGUCCGGAUUUAUUGGGCGUAAAGAGCGUGUAGGCGGCCAGACAGGUCCGUUGUGAAAACUGGAGGCUCAACCUCCAGACGUCGAUGGAAACCGCCUGGCUAGAGUCCGGAAGAGGAGAGUGGAAUUCCUGGUGUAGCGGUGAAAUGCGCAGAUAUCAGGAAGAACACCCGUGGCGAAAGCGGCUCUCUGGGACGGUACUGACGCUGAGACGCGAAAGCGUGGGGAGCGAACAGG